rnacentral:rRNA from 1 species
GAUGAACGCUGGCGGCGUGCCUAAUACAUGCCAGUCGAGCGAACAGACGAGGAGCUUGCUCCUCUGACGUUAGCGGCGGACGGGUGAGUAACACGUGGAUAACCUACCUAUAAGACUGGGAUAACUUCGGGAAACCGGAGCUAAUACCGGAUAAUAUAUUGAACCGCAUGGUUCAAUAGUGAAAGACGGUUUUGCUGUCACUUAUAGAUGGAUCCGCGCCGCAUUAGCUAGUUGGUAAGGUAACGGCUUACCAAGGCAACGAUGCGUAGCCGACCUGGGAGGGUGAUCGGCCACACUGGAACUGAGACACGGUCCAGACUCCUACGGGAGGCAGCAGUAGGGAAUCUUCCGCAAUGGGCGAAAGCCUGACGGAGCAACGCCGCGUGAGUGAUGAAGGUCUUCGGAUCGUAAAACUCUGUUAUUAGGGAAGAACAAAUGUGUAAGUAACUAUGCACGUCUUGACGGUACCUAAUCAGAAAGCCACGGCUAACUACGUG